ACUGCGGUUGCCCAGUUGGUAGUGGCUUUGACAGUACAGAUGCCGAAGGUAGCAGGUUCAUGUCCUGCCUGCGGUA